AUGCACGCUGGCGGCGUGCCUCAUACAUGCAAGUCGAGCGAACGGACGAGAAGCUUGCUUCUCUGAUGUUAGCGGCGGACGGGUGAGUAACACGUGGAUAACCUACCUAUAAGACUGGGAUAACUUCGGGAAACCGGAGCUAAUACCGGAUAAUAUUUUGAACCGCAUGGUUCAAAAGUGAAAGACGGUCUUGCUGUCACUUAUAGAUAGAUCCGCGCUGCAUUAGCUAGUUGGUAAGGUAACGGCUUACCAAGGCAACGAUGCAUAGCCGACCUGAGAGGGUGAUCGGCCACACUGGAACUGAGACACGGUCCAGACUCCUACGGGAGGCAGCAGUAGGGAAUCUUCCGCAAUGGGCGAAAGCCUGACGGAGCAACGCCGCGUGAGUGAUGAAGGUCUUCGGAUCGUAAAACUCUGUUAUUAGGGAAGAACAUAUGUGUAAGUAACUGUGCACAUCUUGACGGUACCUAAUCAGAAAGCCACGGCUAACUACGUG
rnacentral:rRNA from 1 species